UACGUAGGGGGCAAGCGUUGUCCGGAAUCAUUGGGCGUAAAGAGCGUGUAGGCGGCUCGAUAAGUCUGCUGUGAAAGUCCAGGGCUCAACCCUGGAAGGCCGGUGGAAACUGUCGGGCUAGAGUCCGGAAGAGGCGAGUGGAACUCCCGGUGUAGCGGUGAAAUGCGCAGAUAUCGGGAGGAACACCAAUGGCGAAGGCAGCUCGCUGGGACGGUACUGACGCUGAGACGCGAAAGCGUGGGGAGCGAACAGG
rnacentral:rRNA from 1 species